rnacentral:piRNA from 1 species
CAGGAACUGUGGGAUCAGUGUUG